rnacentral:rRNA from 1 species
CAGCCGCCGCGGUAAUACGUAGGGUGCGAGCGUUAAUCGGAAUUACUGGGCGUAAAGCGUGCGCAGGCGGUUAUAUAAGACAGAUGUGAAAUCCCCGGGCUUAACCUGGGAACUGCAUUUGUGACUGGCGGGCUAGAGUAUGGCAGAGGGGGGUAGAAUUCCACGUGUAGCAGUGAAAUGCGUAGAGAUGUGGAGGAAUACCGAUGGCGAAGGCAGCCCCCUGGGCCAAUACUGACGCUCAUGCACGAAAGCGUGGGGAGCAAACAGGAUUAGAUACCCCUGUAGUCCCUGUCUCUUAUAC